rnacentral:rRNA from 1 species
AUUGAACGCUGGCGGCAUGCUUUACACAUGCAAGUCGAACUGUAACAGGGUGCUUGCACCGCUGACGAGUGGCGAACGGGUGAGUAAUGCGUCGGAACGUGCCGAGUAGUGGGGGAUAACGCAGCGAAAGUUGUUCUAAUACCGCAUACGUACUGAGGUAGAAGGUGGGGGACCUUCGGGCCUCACGCUAUUCGCGCCGCCGGCGUCUGAUUAGCUAGUAGGUGAGGUAAAGGCUCACCUAGGCGACGAUCAGUAGCGGGGCUGAGAGGAUGAUCCGCGACACUGGGACUGAGACACGGCCCAGACUCCUACGGGAGGCAGCAGUGGGGAAUCUUGGACAAUGGGCGAAAGCCUGAUCCAGCCAUGCCGCGUGUCUGAAGAAGGCCUUCGGGUUGUAAAGGACUUUUGUCAGGGAGGAAAUACCUAGUGCUAAUAACACUGGGGGAUGACAGUACCUGAAGAGUAAGCACCGGCUAACUACGUGCCAGCAGCCGCCGUAA